GACGAACGCUGGCGGCGUGCUUAACACAUGCAAGUCGAACGGAAAGGCCCUGCUUUUGUGGGGUGCUCGAGUGGCGAACGGGUGAGUAACACGUGAGUAACCUGCCCUUGACUUUGGGAUAACUUCAGGGAACUGGGGCUAAUACCGGAUAGGAGCUCCUGCUGCAUGGUGGGGGUUGGAAAGUUUCGGCGGUUGGGGAUGGACUCGCGGCUUAUCAGCCUGUUGGUGGGGUAGUGGCUUACCAAGGCUUUGACGGGUAGCCGGCCUGAGAGGGUGACCGGCCACAUUGGGACUGGGAUACGGCCCAGACUCCUACGGGAGGCAGCAGUGGGGAAUAUUGCACAAUGGGCGGAAGCCUGAUGCAGCAACGCCGCGUGCGGGAUGACGGCCUUCGGGUUGUAAACCGCUUUCGCCUGUGACGAAGCGUGAGUGACGGUAAUGGGUAAAGAAGCACCGGCUAACUACGUG
rnacentral:rRNA from 1 species